rnacentral:rRNA from 1 species
AGCCGUGUGAAACUGGGAUUACUACCUGAUACUAUCUAAAGAUUAAAGCAGCAAUGCGCUUGGGGAUGGGCUCGCGGCCUAUUAGUUAGUUGGUGAGGUAACGGCUCACCAAGGCGAUGACGGGUAGCCGGUCUGAGAGGAUGUCCGGCCACACUGGAACUGAGACACGGUCCAGACACCUACGGGUGGCAGCAGUCGAGAAUCAUUCACAAUGGGGGAAACCCUGAUGGUGCGACGCCGCGUGGGGGAAUGAAGGUCUUCGGAUUGUAAACCCCUGUCAUGUGGGAGCAAAUUAAAAAGAUAGUACCACAAGAGGAAGAGACGGCUAACUCUGUGCCAGCAGCCGCGGUAAUACAGAGGUCUCAAGCGUUGUUCGGAAUCACUGGGCGUAAAGCGUGCGUAGGCUGUUUCGUAAGUCGUGUGUGAAAGGCGCGGGCUCAACCCGCGGACGGCACAUGAUACUGCGAGACUAGAGUAAUGGAGGGGGAACCGGAAUUCUCGGUGUAGCAGUGAAAUGCGUAGAUAUCGAGAGGAACACUCGUGGCGAAGGCGGGUUCCUGGACAUUAACUGACGCUGAGGCACGAAGGCCAGGGGAGCGAAAGGGAUUAGAUACCCCUGUAGUCCUGGCAGUAAACGGUGCACGCUUGGUGUGCGGGGAAUCGACCCCCUGCGUGCCGGAGCUAACGCGUUAAGCGUGCCGCCUGGGGAGUACGGUCGCAAGAUUAAAACUCAAAGAAAUUGACGGGGACCCGCACAAGCGGUGGAGUAUGUGGCUUAAUUCGAUGCAACGCGAAGAACCUUACCUGGGCUUGACAUGUAAUGAACAACAUGUGAAAGCAUGCGACUCUUCGGAGGCGUUACACAGGUGCUGCAUGGCCGUCGUCAGCUCGUGUCGUGAGAUGUUUGGUUAAGUCCAGCAACGAGCGCAACCCCUGUUGCCAGUUACCAGCACGUGAAGGUGGGGACUCUGGCGAGACUGCCCAGAUCAACUGGGAGGAAGGUGGGGACGACGUCAGGUCAGUAUGGCCCUUAUGCCCAGGGCUGCACACGUACUACAAUGCCCAGUACAGAGGGGGCCGAAGCCGCGAGGCGGAGGAAAUCCUAAAAACUGGGCCCAGUUCGGACUGUAGGCUGCAACCCGCCUACACGAAGCCGGAAUCGCUAGUAAUGGCGCAUCAGCUACGGCGCCGUGAAUACGUUCCCGGGUCUUGCACACACCGCCCGUCA